rnacentral:rRNA from 1 species
UAGUCUGGGAUACCACUUGGAAACAGGUGCUAAUACCGGAUAAGAAAGCGGAUCGCAUGAUCAGCUUUUAAAAGGCGGCGUAAGCUGUCGCUAUGGGAUGGCCCCGCGGUGCAUUAGCUAGUUGGUAAGGUAAAAGGCUUACCAAGGCGAUGAUGCAUAGCCGAGUUGAGAGACUGAUCGGCCACAUUGGGACUGAGACACGGCCCAAACUCCUACGGGAGGCAGCAGC